rnacentral:rRNA from 1 species
GACGGGGCCCGCACAAGCGGUGGAGUAUGUGGUUUAAUUCGAUGCAACGCGAAGAACCUUACCUGGUCUUGACAUCCCGGAGACCCUUAGGGAACUAGGGGGUGCUUCCAUCUGGAAGAAUCUGGAGACAGGUGCUGCAUGGCUGUCGUCAGCUCGUGUCGUGAGAUGUUGGGUUAAGUCCCGCAACGAGCGCAACCCUUGCCUUUAGUUGCCAGCAGUUCGGCUGGGCACUCUAAAGGGACUGCCGGUGUUAAACCGGAGGAAGGUGGGGAUGACGUCAAGUCCUCAUGGCCUUUAUGACCAGGGCUACACACGUACUACAAUGGCCGAUACAAAGGGCAGCGACACUGCGAGGUGAAGCCAAUCCCGUAAAAUCGGUCUCAGUCCGGAUUGGAGUCUGCAACUCGACUCCAUGAAGUUGGAAUCGCUAGUAAUCGUGGAUCAGCAUGCCACGGUGAAUACGUUCCCGGGCCUU